CCCUCGAUAGUUAUUGUAACUAUACCGGUUUUCAAGACCGGAGCUAUCAACCACUCAGCCACCUCUC
rnacentral:tRNA from 2 species